rnacentral:rRNA from 1 species
UACGAAGGGGGCUAGCGUUGUUCGGAAUUACUGGGCGUAAAGCGCGCGCAGGCGGUCUUCCAAGUCAGUGGUGAAAGCCUGGAGCUCAACUCCAGAACUGCCAUUGAAACUGUUAGACUUGAGUACGAGAGAGGUGAGUGGAAUUCCCAGUGUAGAGGUGAAAUUCGUAGAUAUUGGGAAGAACACCGGUGGCGAAGGCGGCUCUCUGGACCGACACUGACGCUGAGGCGCGAAAAGCGUGGGGAGCGAACAGG